rnacentral:rRNA from 1 species
UACGUAGGGUGCGAGCGUUGUCCGGAAUUAUUGGGCGUAAAGAGCUUGUAGGCGGUCUGUCGCGUCUGCUGUGAAAAUCCGGGGCUCAACCCCGGACUUGCAGUGGGUACGGGCAGACUAGAGUGUGGUAGGGGAGACUGGAAUUCCUGGUGUAGCGGUGAAAUGCGCAGAUAUCAGGAGGAACACCGAUGGCGAAGGCAGGUCUCUGGGCCACUACUGACGCUGAGGAGCGAAGGCGUGGGGAGCGAACAGG